AGCGAACGCUGGCGGCAGGCUUAACACAUGCAAGUCGAGCGGGCACUUCGGUGUCAGCGGCAGACGGGUGAGUAACACGUGGGAACGUACCCUUCGGUUCGGAAUAACGCUGGGAAACUAGCGCUAAUACCGGAUACGCCCUUUUGGGGAAAGGUUUACUGCCGAAGGAUCGGCCCGCGUCUGAUUAGCUAGUUGGUGGGGUAAUGGCCUACCAAGGCGACGAUCAGUAGCUGGUCUGAGAGGAUGAUCAGCCACACUGGGACUGAGACACGGCCCAGACUCCUACGGGAGGCAGCAGUGGGGAAUAUUGGACAAUGGGCGCAAGUCUGAUCCAGCCAUGCCGCGUGAGUGAUGAAGGCCUUAGGGUUGUAAAGCUCUUUUGUCCGGGACGAUAAUGGCGGUACCGGAAGAAUAAGCCCCGGCUAACUUCGUG
rnacentral:rRNA from 1 species